UACGUAGGGUGCAAGCGUUGUCCGGAAUUAUUGGGCGUAAAGAGCUCGUAGGCGGCCUGUCGCGUCGGAUGUGAAAAUCCAAGGCUCAACCUUGGACCUGCAUUCGAUACGGGCAGGCUAGAGUUCGGUAGGGGAGACUGGAAUUCCUGGUGUAGCGGUGAAAUGCGCAGAUAUCAGGAGGAACACCGGUGGCGAAGGCGACUCUUUGGCCUGUAACUGACGCUGAGGCGCGAAAAGCGUGGGGAGCAAACAGG
rnacentral:rRNA from 1 species